GGAGAUAGUUAAGGAACGGUGUCCUGGCUGGACGUGUGUGAUCGUGUCUCCGCCCUCCCUACAGUAACGUAAAGUGACGAGAAGCUUCAAACAGACCCUGAACGUGUUUGAUCGAGAAAAUAUAUACUCGCAUCAUCAC